CAUUUGACGUUAGCUGCAGAAGAAGCACCGGCUAACUCCGUGCCAGCAGCCGCGGUAAUACGGAGGGUGCGAGCGUUAAUACGGUAAUUACGUGGGACGUAAAGCGCAUGCAGGUUGGUUUAGUUAAGUCAGAUGUAGAAACGGCCCGGGGCUACAACCGUACGGUAAUUGCUAUUUAGAAACUGGACAAACUAGAGUACUGUAGAGGGGGUAGAAUUUCAGGUGUAGCGGUGAAAUGCGUAGAGAUCUGAAGGAAUACCGGUGGCGAAGGCGGCCCCCUGGACAGAUACUGACACUCAGAUGCGAAAGCGUGGGGAGCAAACAGGAUUAGAUACCCUGGUAG
rnacentral:rRNA from 1 species